UGGACGACUUUCGGCAACGGAUAUCUCGGCUCUCGCAUCGAUGAAGAACGUAGCGAAAUGCGAUACCUGGUGUGAAUUGCAGAAUCCCGUGAACCAUCGAGUCUUUGAACGCAAGUUGCGCCCGAGGCCAUCCGGCCAAGGGCACGCCUGCCUGGGCGUCACGA
rnacentral:rRNA from 1 species